GGGGGUAGAGCUCAGUGGUAGAGCGCGUGGUUAGCACGCAUGAGGGCCUGGGUUCAAUUCCCAGUACCUCUA
rnacentral:tRNA from 1 species